CGGCUGGCAGUCGACCGGCGUGCCGGGCUCGGGCUUGGGGUCCACCAGCCGGUGGGAGGAGGACUUGGUCGGGUGGCAGCCGGCCUUGGGCGCCGGCCACGGGUGGUUGUGAUCGUAGGAGUAGGUGACGAGCAGCACGGUGGGGUCGGUGCGGCUGCGCUCCACCUGCUUCCUCGCCGGGCACCCCUUGGAGCUGCUGCAGCGGUAGUACCCCCUGAACACAAGACGCGACGGCAAUCCACAGGAAUCAGACGAGCCUACUGCUUACUCAGUAGAGUGGUAGUAACUGACGAUUUAAUUACCAGCCUGUCCUGCUGCAUGCAAGGGCAGGCUGUAGUAGUAUCUAUGUAUGGUUGGUGGGCGUACUUACCGCGGGUAGGGGGAUCCCUUGAUGGGCUUCUGGCCGUACUUGCGCCACGCCCACGAGUCCGGCGGCGGCGGGCCCUCGCCGUUGGUCUUGGCCCGCUCGCCGCACUCGGCAAUCGGCACCGACACCACCCUCUUCUCCACAGAUCUCCGGCUGCAAUCAACCAAUCGCAAAACAGACAUACAGUACUCAAAUCAAUCCUCCGCCCGCUGAUUCGAGAUUCGGCUGGUUCCAUGGAUGGAUGGAUGGAGAUGUGCGUGUAUGUAUGUACCUGCGCUUUGGCGGCGGGAGCGGGGACGACGGCGAGGGGUGGUCGCGCUUGCUCUGGCCUCCGCCGGGCGACUCGGCGUCGGCGGGCGGCUGCUCGUCGACGGAGUCCGCCCGCGGCGAGUCCGUGCCGGUGCUGCAGUCCGACAUCGAUGGCUCAGUCCUGCCGCCUAGGUAUCCACGCCCGGC
rnacentral:lncRNA from 1 species